GACGAACGCUGGCGGCGUGCUUAACACAUGCAAGUCGAACGGUAAGGCUCCAGCUUGCUGGGGUACACGAGUGGCGAACGGGUGAGUAACACGUGGGUGACCUGCCCUGCACUUCGGGAUAAGCCUGGGAAACUGGGUCUAAUACCGGAUAGGACCAUGGUGUGGAUACUGUGGUGGAAAGUUUUUUCGGUGUGGGAUGGGCCCGCGGCCUAUCAGCUUGUUGGUGGGGUAAUGGCCUACCAAGGCGGCGACGGGUAGCCGGCCUGAGAGGGUGGACGGCCACAUUGGGACUGAGACACGGCCCAGACUCCUACGGGAGGCAGCAGUGGGGAAUAUUGCACAAUGGGCGGAAGCCUGAUGCAGCGACGCCGCGUGGGGGAUGACGGCCUUCGGGUUGUAAACUCCUUUCACCAUCGACGAAGGGUUUCUGACGGUGGAUGGAGAAGAAGCACCGGCUAACUACGUG
rnacentral:rRNA from 1 species